rnacentral:lncRNA from 1 species
UACAGAGAGAUGGCAAUGGAAGCAGGUGGUAUUGAGAAAAGUGCACUGACAAUCUAGCUAAUCAGGAAUGAUUUUGUUGAUAAAUAUGAGCUACCACAGAGACAGCAGACUGGGUAAACAUCUCAGAUGAUAUAUGUACAGUGCUGGUAGAAAACAAAUUUAAUUUGCCAACAAGGCCACAAAAUAAGCUCAUACACUGUCCAGGAGUUAUGGGAUUCUGUUCAUUGAAAUUUCUGCCAAGACCAGACAGGGAAUCAAAGAUGAAUUUUAUACAAAGGGAAGAGAAAUAUGCUUGUGUAAAAUGAAAGAGCUCAAAAACAGCAAUGAUGAGACUCAAGGUUGCAUGGAGUUGCUAUGUGUGGUGAUGUAUGUAACA